GUCCCCGUGGCACAACUGGAUAGCGCGACGCCCUCCUAACAACCUGCUAAGGCGUAGGUUGCAGGUUCGACCCCUGCCGGGAUGCCA
rnacentral:tRNA from 1 species